GUCGAGCGGGCGUAGCAAUACGUCAGCGGCAGACGGGUGAGUAACGCGUGGGAACGUACCUUUUGGUUCGGAACAACACAGGGAAACUUGUGCUAAUACCGGAUAAGCCCUUACGGGGAAAGAUUUAUCGCCGAAAGAUCGGCCCGCGUCUGAUUAGCUAGUUGGUAGGGUAAUGGCCUACCAAGGCGACGAUCAGUAGCUGGUCUGAGAGGAUGAUCAGCCACAUUGGGACUGAGACACGGCCCAAACUCCUACGGGAGGCAGCAGUGGGGAAUAUUGGACAAUGGGGGCAACCCUGAUCCAGCCAUGCCGCGUGAGUGAUGAAGGCCCUAGGGUUGUAAAGCUCUUUUGUGCGGGAAGAUAAUGACGGUACCGCAAGAAUAAGCCCCGGCUAACUUCGUGCCAGCAGCCGCGGUAAUA
rnacentral:rRNA from 1 species